AGCAGCCGCGGUAAUUCCAGCUCCAAUAGCGUAUAUUAAAGUUGUUGCAGUUAAAAAGCUCGUAGUUGAAUUUCGGGAUCAAUAUUUCGGUCAUGCCGUUGGUAUGCACUGUUAUCAUUGAUUUCUCACCUUCUAAAGAACCGUAAUGCCAUUAAUUUGGUGUUACGGGGAAUUAGGACUGUUACCUUGAAAAAAUUAGAGUGUUUAAAGCAGGCUCACGCUUGAAUACAUUAGCAUGGAAUAAUGAAAUAGGACAUCCGAUUCUAUUUUGUUGGUUUCUAGGAUCGAUGUAAUGAUUAAUAGGGAUAGUUGGGGGCAUUAGUAUUCAAUUGUCAGAGGUGAAAUUCUUGGAUUUAUUGAAGACUAACUACUGCGAAAGCAUUUGCCAAGGAUGUUUUCAUUAAUCAAAGAACGAAAGUUAGGGGAUCGAAGACGAUCAGAUACCGUCGU
rnacentral:rRNA from 1 species